rnacentral:rRNA from 1 species
AUGACUCUGUGCUUUGGAAGGUUCCAAAAGGAAGCUAUGCAAGUGAUUUCAUCAGGAAAGAGAUGCAGAGGAGAGGAAGAGAGCCUCCCCAAGCUCUGUCUAGGCGAUGCACGGGCGACGGCCAUCCUUCCUGUUAUUGCCUCCAUGGAUGACUGGUCAUCCCCAGUACCCCCCCCCCCUCACGUGCGCCACACUCUGGGAUUAAUGUCUGCUCCUUGGCUAGCAUUUGCGUUUACCGAUUCUCUGAUUUCUCUCUACCGAAGAAUCAAAGAAACAAGCAAGCUGAGUCUAACAUAUUUGUUUCGUAAUAGUUGGAACUGGAAGAGGAAGCUCCAGUACAAUUCAGAUCUCUGCUCAAACCCUCAAUCUCUCAUGCAUACAUAA